rnacentral:rRNA from 1 species
GAUAAACGCUGGCGGCGUGCCUAACACAUGCAAGUCGAACGUCCUCUUUUGCCUUCGCGAGAAGGGGAGAGAGGGAGUGGCGGACGGGUGAGUAACACGUGGGUACCUACCCUGGGGUGAGGAAUACCGGCGAGAAAUCGCCGACAAGACCGCAUAGGCUCUUUCUUGCACACGUAAAAGAGAGCAAAGCCGAAAGGUGCCCUGGGAUGGGCCUGCGGCCGAUUAGCUAGUUGGCGAGGAAGAGCUCCCCAAGGCGACGAUCGGUAGCUGGUCUGAGAGGACGAACAGCCACACUGGGAUUGAGAACGG